CUUUGUCUGCAUCUAAAAAGAUUGCUGCCAUUGGUUGAUCAGGUUUGUCAUUAAUGUAUUCAAUUAUAUUUGUGACAAUUCUAAUAUUACGUUUUAUUUGCCUUCCUGGGAGGAAGCCAGAUUGUUCUUCUUGAAUAUAUCCAAUUAGAAUUUUUUUAAGCCUUUGUGCUAAUAUUGUAGUAAAAAUUUUGUAAUCUACAUUGAGUAGAGAUAUGGGCCGAAAUUCAUUUACUUCUGGUAUUUCUGUUUUGGUCUUAGGUAUUAAUGAGAUCGUGGCCUGUUUCCAAGAAUCUGGUUUAUUUCUGCCAUCUUCAGCUGCCCGCGUAUCACAGCUUUAUGGGCGUCCCAUAAUGUUGCCUCUUCCUUCACCGAUCCUGUAUUUAGUUUCCAAUAUUCUAAUAAAUUUUUCUUGAUAUUCU